rnacentral:lncRNA from 1 species
GUAGUCAGGGAUCUCUGGGGUGAAGUCACGGCUCUGUGGAGUGGAGUCAGAGCUUUGUGGGUGGAGUCAGGAGUUCUGUUGGUUGGAGUCAGGGCUCUGUGAGGUGGACUCAGGGGCACGGAGCUUCUUAUCGGAGGCUGUCUGGAGGGAGUCUGUGGUUCUGGCACGGCGAUGGUUGUGGGGUAGUGAAGCUGCACUGGGGGCUGGUGCCUGCUUGCUGACUGAUGAGCAUUCUGGGGACUGACGUGGGGAGCAAAAGCCUACCUCUCUCUCUACCUGUUUAAGGCCCACGACAUGGCUACAGAGUGGAGAAGGUGCGAAGGCCAACCUCCCUUCUGAGAGGACAGCGGGGGCCUGGGCAUGUCGGCCCGGUGCUCCUUGAAUCUCAGGAGAAAAGGCCUAGGACGCAGAGGGAUGGUGGAUGCUGGGUCCUGGCAGGUGGAUAGAGGGAACCGAGACGGGUAGAAAUUCCUGGAAAAUGAAGAGAGCGCUAUUUCAGAGGGGGAACAUCUCUGAAUCAGAGGAGGCAGCUGCUGACUUUUGCUGAAAGGGAAAGGAACCUUCAGGACAGCGGUGGUGGCAUCAGCUGGGCCGCCUAGGGCUCCGCAGCCCUAAGCCUGCACCGGCCCUGUCCUUCCCUUGGGGCGACGGGACCUCCCCGCAGGGCCCUGCGCAUGGGGACUGGGGCAUGGGACAGGGCUCCGCAGAGAAGACCUGCCUGAGCCGGGCAGCUGGGCCCACCAAGGCCGCCAGACAGCCCAAACCCUUCCCAGGCUGCAGGGAGGCCCCAGCUGGUGUGGCCUCAAACCGGCAUCUGUUUCUUCACUCCUGGGGCUCCCUUUGAACUUGAACCUUGCAAAGCCCAAGUAACAAUAAAAAAGCCAAGGAACAGGUGCUGCUGCAGAGGACGGAGGACAGGCCGGCUGGGAGCCUCAGGGGGUGUCGCCUUUGUUUCAGCGCCUUCAGUCUCCCCGCUUCCGCAUGAAACUGCUCGGGACCCACGUCAGCGCCAAGUUCCAACAAGGAAAAUAUAGCAGCGCACAAUAUGUUGUUUUGGCAGAAAGCUAUGAAUUUUAGUAUGGAAUGUCUGUCACAGGGCCCAUCCAAUUAACUCACUUGUCGAGAAAUCAGAAUAAAUAGUUGAGAGGAGGCGACUGCAGCUUUGCUCAGACCUUUAUUUCUCAUUUGUUUUCAUGGUUAAGCAGGUCUGCAGUCACCAGGAUGUAUAUUUAGGGCAGGGAAGGAGAGAAUACGCAUCUUCACGGUGGUUCUCCCUUUGGAGGGAAAGAAGGGUAUUUUCUAUGCAUUUUGGAGGAGGGAAUUCUGGUGAGCUUCUGUUUUAGAAAAGUGUUAUGGAGGCAACCCUGGCAAACUCCCUCGAGUUUUGGACUCAGUGCUGUUGAGUCUGAGACAAGGACUGGGCCCUACCAGAGAAGUUUCUCUUCCUCCUUAGGUUAUCCACGGUGGCUGGUGAGCAUGGCUGUGCCGGAGGAGUUUGAAAUUCUUGCUUCAGGCCAUAUGGAGUGGAUAUUCCUUCCAGAAGGAAAUUACAGACCACUCUCUGUUUCUACUCAACUGCUUUUCACUCCAGGAUGCUUCACCUCUUGGGGCCUUCCCCAGCAGAGGCCCAGGAUCACCUGCAAAAGGCUUCCCCAAGGGUGGGGCCAGAAGCAGGGCUGCAGAUAUGUGUCCUGAACCUCCCAUGGACCCUGCUGGCUCCCUUCAAAGGCUUCGGGCAUAGCGACUUGCCUUUCCGUCUUGUUCAGUCGUCACCAGUCAGCCGUCUGCAGACUUCUCUCCCUCACGUUGUGGCAGAGGAGUUGUACAUUCUCUAGAUUUUAAAAAUAUAUAAGUUACUUUUUCUUUAAAAUAAAAAUUGUCUCUGAAAUAAGCUCCCA